AGGGCGGUAGCUCAGCCGGUUAGAGCAGAGGACUCAUAAUCCUUGGGUCGUGGGUUCGAGUCCCACCCGCCCUACCA
rnacentral:tRNA from 1 species